rnacentral:rRNA from 1 species
GACGAACGCUGGCGGCGUGCCUAAUACAUGCAAGUAGAACGCUGAAGGAGGAGCUUGCUUCUCUGGAUGAGUUGCGAACGGGUGAGUAACGCGUAGGUAACCUGCCUGGUAGCGGGGGAUAACUAUUGGAAACGAUAGCUAAUACCGCAUAAGAGUAGAUGUUGCAUGACAUUUGCUUAAAAGGUGCAAUUGCAUCACUACCAGAUGGACCUGCGUUGUAUUAGCUAGUUGGUGGGGUAACGGCUUACCAAGGCGACGAUACAUAGCCGACCUGAGAGGGUGAUCGGCCACACUGGGACUGAGACACGGCCCAGACUCCUACGGGAGGCAGCAGUAGGGAAUCUUCGGCAAUGGACGGAAGUCUGUCCGAGCAACGCCGCGUGAGUGAAGAAGGUUUUCGGAUCGUAAAGCUCUGUUGUAAGAGAAGAACGAGUGUGAGAGUGGAAAGUUCACACUGUGACGGUAUCUUACCAGAAAGGGACGGCUAACUACGUG